UACGAAGGGUGGCAAGCGUUACUCGGAAUUACUGGGCGUAAAGCGUGCGUAGGUGGUUUGUUAAGUCUGAUGUGAAAGCCCUGGGCUCAACCUGGGAAUUGCAUUGGAUACUGGCAGGCUAGAGUGCGGUAGAGGGUAGUGGAAUUCCCGGUGUAGCAGUGAAAUGCGUAGAGAUGGGAGGAACACCAGUGGCGAAGGCGACUCACUGGACACGAUUGACGCUGAGGUGCGAAAGCGUGGGGAGCAAACUAGGGAUUAAGCAAACCCGUUAGUACGUCCGA
rnacentral:rRNA from 1 species